GUUUUGACAUUGCUCUGACAAUGGAAUAUAUCUCGUGUGUGUGUGUGUGUGCAUGUGUGUGUGUGUGUGAGAGAGAGAGAGAGAGUUAAGUCUCAGCUGUCUCCCGGGCUGGAGUGCAGUGGCAAGGUCACAGCUCACUGCAGCCUUGAACUCUUGGGCUCAGACGAUCCUCCCACCUCAGCCUCCUGAGUAGCUGGGACUGAGGUGCAAUCCACCACGCCCAGCUAAUUUUUUGUAGAGACAGUUUUACCAUGUUGCCCAGGCUGAUCUCGAACUCCUGGGCUCAAGCAAUUCGCCUGCUUCAGCCUUCCAAAAUACUGGGAUUACAGGUGUAAUUGGGUUUUUUUUUAAGGCUUUAAAAUUUCCAGAACAUUUUUUCUCAUUUCCUCCUGAUCAUUACAAAAAUCUUUACUGAAAGGUAGGGCAUUGUAAGAGAGUUAACUUCAUUUUGCAGAUACACUCAGAGGGGUUAAAAAUUUGCAGGUACAUAUGCACAUGACUAUUAAGUGAUAAAACAAGUCUCAAAGCUGUUUUUACCCUUUCUUUCUUUUUUUUUGAGACAGUCUUACUCUGUUGCCCAGGCUGGAGUGCAGUGGUGAGAUCAUAGCUUACUACAGCCUUGACCUCCAGGGCUCAAGUGAUCCUCCUGCCUCAGCUUCCUACAUAGCUAGGACUACAGGCAUGCACUACCAUGCCCAGCUAAGUUUA
rnacentral:lncRNA from 1 species